rnacentral:rRNA from 1 species
AGGACGAACGCUGGCGGCGCGCUUAACACAUGCAAGUCGAGCGAGAACCAGGACUUCGGUCCUGGGGACAGCGGCGAACGGGUGAGUAACACGUGGAUAACCUGCCCUCGGCACCGGGAUAGCCCGAGGAAACUCGGAUUAAUACCGGAUAGCCCUUCCGACUCUCGAGUCGGUCCGAAAAGGUAGCUUCGGCCUCUGGCCGAGGAUGGGUCCGCGGCGGAUUAGCUUGUUGGUGGGUAACGCCUACCAAGGCAUCGAUCCGUAGCUGGUCUGAGAGGACGAUCAGCCACACUGGGACUGAGACACGGCCCAGACUCCUACGGGAGCAGCAG